rnacentral:rRNA from 1 species
GUUAGGAAUAUUGGACAAUGGGCGAAAGCCUGAUCCAGCCAUGCCGCGUGAACGAUGAAGGCCUUCGGGUUGUAAACUGCUUUUGUACGGAACGAAACGGUCCUGGCUAAUAUCCGGGGCUAAUGACGGUACCGUAAGAAUAAGCACCGGCUAACUACGUGCCAGCAGCCGCGGUAAUACGUAGGGUGCGAGCGUUAAUCGGAAUUACUGGGCGUAAAGCGUGCGCAGGCGGUGCUGUAAGACAGGCGUGAAAUCCCCGGGCUCAACCUGGGAAUUGCGCUUGUGACUGCAGUGCUGGAGUGCGGCAGAGGGGGAUGGAAUUCCGCGUGUAGCAGUGAAAUGCGUAGAUAUGCGGAGGAACACCGAUGGCGAAGGCAAUCCCCUGGGCCUGCACUGACGCUCAUGCACGAAAGCGUGGGGAGCAAACAGGAUUAGAUACCCCGGUAGUCC